rnacentral:rRNA from 1 species
AUGUUUAAAGCGGCGACUUCAGUCUGCUUAGGGGAUGGACUGAGGGCAAGAUUCUGGACCGACAAAUGGCUGCCUGGAGGGGUCUCCAUUGAAGACAUAGCUCCAGCCUUAUUCUCGUUUGUCAAGGAUUCUGGGCGAUCGGUUAAGGAGGCUCUUCACAAUGGUUUUUGGAUCAGGGAUAUAUCAGGAGGGAUUUCGGUGCAGGCCAUGGCUCAAUAUCUCAAAAUUUGGGACAUCACUCAGCAUGUCUCCUUAUCUGUGGGUGUUCCUGAUCGCUUAGUUUGGAAGUGGACCAAGGAUCACAAGUUCUCUGUUGGCAGCGCAUAUAACAUGUUCUUUGCUGCGAAUGUGCACUUUGCUUGCCACAAGCCAAUAUGGGAAUCAAAAGCUCCCCCAAAAUGCAAAUUCUUUAUGUGGCUUGCUGUUCAUCGCAGGUGCUUGACCGCAGAUAAUUUGGAGAGGAGGGGCUGGCCUUCUAAUGGCAACUGUCCGUUGUGCAUCUCGACGCACGAAGACUGCACACAUCUUUUUGUGCAUUGUCGGUUCACUCAGCAGGUUUGGAGGAGGUUCAGGGACUGGACGAGAGUGUUUUUUCUUGUUCCAGAUGACAGCUAUGCUAAUACUGAGGAUUGGUGGCUGAGAACACGGAAGGAUGUCCCCAAGUCUGAUAGGCGCAAUUUUGACACCAUUAUCAUUCUUAUCCACUGGAGGAUCUGGAAAGAAAGAAAUGCGAGAAUUUUUUAG